CCUACGGGAGGCAGCAGUAGGGAAUAUUGCUCAAUGGGGGAAACCCUGACGCAGCAACGCCGCGUGGAGGAUGAAGGUUUUCGGAUUGUAAACUCCUUUUGUUAGAGAAGAUAAUGACGGUAUCUAACGAAUAAGCCCCGGCUAACUCCGUGCCAGCAGCCGCGGUAAUACGGAGGGUGCAAGCGUUACUCGGAAUCACUGGGCGUAAAGAGCGCGUAGGCGGGAAAGCAAGUCAGAUGUGAAAUCCUAUGGCUUAACCAUAGAACUGCAUUUGAAACUGUUAUUCUAGAGUAUGGGAGAGGGAGGUGGAAUUCUUGGUGUAGGGGUAAAAUGCGUAGAGAUCAAGAGGAAUACUCAUUGCGAAGGCGACCUGCUAGAACAUAACUGACGCUGAGGCGCGAAAGCGUGGGGAGCAAACAGGAUUAGAUACCCGAGUAGUC
rnacentral:rRNA from 1 species